AAAAUUAUAUGUCUUGAAUAGCAGUGUAAAGACACAAGUGUCUCAGAUAUCCAGGAGAGCUUUUCCAUUGUACAUGGAAUACAGUGCUACAUUUGUGAGAAAGGUUAUUCCCUGGAAUCCAAUGAAUCACGAACAGCUGAGACCAAGGUUGAUCGGAUUGGGAACAAAAGUUCUAAAGACAAUGUUUGAUACACACCCUGAAGACACCACAUUCCUCUGAAAAGCAAUGCCUUCCAGUGAGUGUAUUCGUUUGCUAGAGAUGCCAUAAAGAAGUACCAGAAACUAUCUUAAGAAGCAGAGAUUUGUUUUCUCAUAGUUUUGGAGGCGAGGCACCCAAGAUCAAGGUCUUAGUAAGAUUUGUUCCUUAGGAGAGGCUUUAAGAGGAAGAUCUAUUCCAGGACUCUCUCCAUGGCUUAUUUUAGGGACCAAUGUCGUGGUAGCUGAAUGUGAGAAUAAAUAUAAAGAGAGCAGAAAACACAGAAGAAAAGCAGGAGUGAAUAAAGGAGAUAAAUAAUAAGAAUUAUUACAUUUGGUUUGGAAGAUGAGAAGAUGUAAUAUCUGGAAAACAGAUGUACUCACAACUGAAAGAAAUAAACAAGUAUGUGUGUUGAUUCUACAACUGCAUGAGAAUAGUAGAGACUACUUCAAAGUUGUUUAACUUAAUAUGGGCAGCAAUGAAAUGGAAUGCCAG
ensembl:lncRNA